AUUGAACGCUGGCGGCAGGCCUAACACAUGCAAGUCGAACGGUAGCACAGAGAGCUUGCUCUCGGGUGACGAGUGGCGGACGGGUGAGUAAUGUCUGGGAAACUGCCCGAUGGAGGGGGAUAACUACUGGAAACGGUAGCUAAUACCGCGUAACGUCUACGGACCAAAGUGGGGGACCUUCGGGCCUCACACCAUCGGAUGUGCCCAGAUGGGAUUAGCUAGUAGGUGGGGUAAUGGCUCACCUAGGCGACGAUCCCUAGCUGGUCUGAGAGGAUGACCGGCCAGCCUGGAACUGAGACACGGUCCAGACUCCUACGGGAGGCAGCAGUGGGGAAUAUUGCACAAUGGGCGCAAGCCUGAUGCAGCCAUGCCGCGUGUAUGAAGAAGGCCUUCGGGUUGUAAAGUACUUUCAGCGGGGAGGAAGGGUUGCUGGUUAAUAACCAGCGACAUUGACGUUACCCGCAGAAGAAGCACCGGCUAACUCCGUGCCAGCAGCCGCCGUAA
rnacentral:rRNA from 1 species